AAUAAAUAAAUAAAUACCUCUUUUGACUAUAUCUCACCUCUUUACGCUCUAUCUAUUCCUUUCCUCACCAGCCACUCUCUAGUCUCUGUACCCUUCUCUCUCUCUCUCUUCUUUCGGACUCUCUCGAUCUCUUUCUUCGGACGAUAACAAUCUCAAAAAUGGGUGGAAGUUCAAACGAUGAUGAUUGGAAUUCACUUCCCCUUCAAAUGGGGUUCAAACUGUGGUUUUGGUUGGACGUACAGGAAAUGGAAAAAGUUCAACAGGCAAUAGCAUUCUUGGAAGAAAGGCAUUUAAGUCAAGGGCUAGCUCAGCUGGUGUUACCAGUACUUGUGAGCUGAACAGAACUGUAUUGACAGAUGGCCAGAUUCUUAAUGUUAUUGACCACUCCCGGAUUAUUUGAUUUUUCUGCUGAGUCUGAAUUUAUUUGGAAAAGAAAUUGUCAAAUGCAUCAAUAUGGCCAAGGAUGGCAUCCAUGCAGUUCUUGUAGUUUUCUCAGUCAGGUCCCGCUUUUUCGAAAGAAGAAGAAGCUGCCCUUCAUAGCUUGCAGACUUGGUUUGG